AGCGAACGCUGGCGGCAGGCUUAACACAUGCAAGUCGAGCGCACGUAGCAAUACGUGAGCGGCAGACGGGAGAGUAACACGUGGGAACGUACCUUUCGGUUCGGAAUAACUCAGGGAAACUUGAGCUAAUACCGGAUACGCCCGCAAGGGGAAAGAUUUAUCGACGGAAGAUCGGCCCGCGUCCGAUUAGCUAGUUGGUGGGGUAAUGGCCCACCAAGGCGACGAUCGGUAGCUGGUCUGAGAGGAUGAUCAGCCUCACUGGGACUGAGACACGGCCCAGACUCCUACGGGAGGCAGCAGUGGGGAAUAUUGGACAAUGGGCGCAAGCCUGAUCCAGCCAUGCCGCGUGGGUGAUGAAGGCCUUAGGGUUGUAAAGCCCUUUCGGCGGGGAAGAUAAUGACGGUACCCGCAGAAGAAGCCCCGGCUAACUUCGUGCCAGCAGCCGCGGUAAAAC
rnacentral:rRNA from 1 species